AAUGAACGCUGGCGGCAUGCCUAACACAUGCAAGUCGAACGAAGGCUUCGGCCUUAGUGGCGCACGGGUGCGUAACGCGUGGGAAUCUGCCCUUGGGUUCGGAAUAACAGUUAGAAAUGACUGCUAAUACCGGAUGAUGUCGUAAGACCAAAGAUUUAUCGCCCAAGGAUGAGCCCGCGUAGGAUUAGCUAGUUGGUGGGGUAAAGGCCUACCAAGGCGACGAUCCUUAGCUGGUCUGAGAGGAUGAUCAGCCACACUGGGACUGAGACACGGCCCAGACUCCUACGGGAGGCAGCAGUGGGGAAUAUUGGACAAUGGGCGAAAGCCUGAUCCAGCAAUGCCGCGUGAGUGAUGAAGGCCUUAGGGUUGUAAAGCUCUUUUACCCGGGAUGAUAAUGACAGUACCGGGAGAAUAAGCUCCGGCUAACUACGUG
rnacentral:rRNA from 1 species